rnacentral:rRNA from 1 species
CCUACGGGAGGCUGCAGUGGGGAAUAUUGCACAAUGGGCGCAAGCCUGAUGCAGCCAUGCCGCGUGUGUGAAGAAGGCCUUCGGGUUGUAAAGCACUUUCAGCGGGGAGGAAGGCGGUGAGGUUAAUAACCUCAUCGAUUGACGUUACCCGCAGAAGAAGCACCGGCUAACUCCGUGCCAGCAGCCGCGGUAGUACGGAGGGUGCAAGCGUUAAUCGGAAUUACUGGGCGUAAAGCGCACGCAGGCGGUCUGUCAAGUCGGAUGUGAAAUCCCCGGGCUCAACCUGGGAACUGCAUUCGAAACUGGCAGGCUAGAGUCUUGUAGAGGGGGGUAGAAUUCCAGGUGUAGCGGUGAAAUGCGUAGAGAUCUGGAGGAAUACCGGUGGCGAAGGCGGCCCCCUGGACAAAGACUGACGCUCAGGUGCGAAAGCGUGGGGAGCAAACAGGAUUAGAUACCCGAGUAGUC